UGCCAGCCGCCGCGGUAAUACGGAGGGUCCAAGCGUUAUCCGGAAUCAUUGGGUUUAAAGGGUUCGCAGGCGGUUUAUUAAGUCAGUGGUGAAAGCCUACAGCUCAACUGUAGAACUGCCAUUGAUACUGAUAGACUUGAAUUUAGUUGGAGUAGGCGGAAUGUGUAGUGUAGCGGUGAAAUGCUUAGAUAUUACACAGAACACCGAUAGCGAAGGCAGCUUACUAAACUAAUAUUGACGCUCAUGAACGAAAGCGUGGGGAGCGAACAGGAUUAGAUA
rnacentral:rRNA from 1 species